UGGGGAAUAUUGGACAAUGGGCGCAAGCCUGAUCCAGCCACGCCGCGUGAGUGAUGAAGGCCUUCGGGUCGUAAAGCUCUGUGGGGAGGGACGAACCGCCGCUGGUGAAUAUCCAGCGGCAUGACGGUACCUCCUUAGCAAGCACCGGCUAACUUCGUGCCAGCAGCCGCGGUAAUACGAAGGGUGCAAACGUUGCUCGGAAUUAUUGGGCGUAAAGCGCACGUAGGCGGCUUGGCAAGUCGGAUGUGAAAUCCCUCGGCUCAACCAAGGAAGUGCAUCCGAAACUGCUGAGCUUGAGUACUUAAGAGGAUCGCGGAAUUCCCGGUGUAGAGGUGAAAUUCGUAGAUAUCGGGAGGAACACCAGUGGCGAAGGCGGCGAUCUGGGAAGAUACUGACGCUGAGGUGCGAAAGCGUGGGGAGCAAACA
rnacentral:rRNA from 1 species